AUGACGGUUGGUGUUGUGAAGCUAGCUAGCGGAGAAAGAAAUGGGAGAUUAGAAGUAGCUAGUGAGGUAGAAAACGAAAGUGGAAAGUGUGAUUCACGGUGGUGUUGUUUCAUGAAUCAGAGGCAGAGGGAUUCGUGUAUGAGGAGUAUUGAUGAAAGUUGGUGUGGAGGGAGUUUGCGUGUGGAUACAGUGGGUUGGGGUUAUGGAAAUUGGAAGAUGGAUGGGAGUUCACAGGCGGAAGAGAUGAAGGUUUUAUUGUUGAAGAGAAAAGAAGGAUAG